CCCACUACUGUUCAUAAGCCUGAAACAUGAGUCCAGCUGCUCAUCUCAUUGUGACCCUACUUCUCUGGGCUGGAGGAAGCAGGGGGGAUAUCAUUGUCAAUCAGUCCCCAAACUUUCUGACAGCUGCUCCUGGCAGCACUGUGUCCAUCUCUUGUAAAACAGAGACAGCCAUUGAUGAUGAUAUGGCUUUGUAUCAUCAAGUACCUGGACAAGCUCCCAAAUCUCUGAUUUAUGAUGUAUCCAAACGUUUCUCUGGGGUAUCGGACAGGUUUUCAGGGUCAGGAUAUGAUCAUGACUUCACUUUCAAAAUCUCCAAUGUCCAGCCAGAAGAUGCUGGAGUUUAUUACUGCCAGCAAUAUGAAGCUUACCCUCUCACACAGUGAUACAGAGCCAUACAA